rnacentral:rRNA from 1 species
CAGCAGUAGCCGCGGGAAUACAGAGGGUGCGAGCGUUAAUCGGAUUUACUGGGCGUAAAGCGUGCGUAGGCGGCUUCUUAAGUCGGAUGUGAAAUCCCUGAGCUUAACUUAGGAAUUGCAUUCGAUACUGGGAAGCUAGAGUAUGGGAGAGGAUGGUAGAAUUCCAGGUGUAGCGGUGAAAUGCGUAGAGAUCUGGAGGAAUACCGAUGGCGAAGGCAGCCAUCUGGCCUAAUACUGACGCUGAGGUACGAAAGCAUGGGGAGCAAACAGGAUUAGAUACCCCCGUAGUCCCUGUCUCUUAUAC